rnacentral:rRNA from 1 species
GAAGCUGGCGGCAGGCCUAACACAUGCAAGUCGAGCGGGAAGCAUUCCUUCGGGGAUGUGGAGAGCGGCAGACGGGUGAGUAACACGUGGGAACCUACCCAGUAGUACGGAAUAACUCAGGGAAACUUGUGCUAAUACCGUAUACGUCCCCCUUUAGAGAUAUUGGGGGAGAAAGAUUUAUCGCUAUUGGAUGGGCCCGCGUUGGAUUAGCUAGUUGGUGGGGUAACGGCCUACCAAGGCUACGAUCCAUAGCUGGUCUGAGAGGAUGAUCAGCCACACUGGGACUGAGACACGGCCCAGACUCCUACGGGAGGCAGCAGUGGGGAAUAUUGGACAAUGGGCGCAAGCCUGAUCCAGCCAUGCCGCGUGAGUGAAGAAGGCCUUAGGGUUGUAAAGCUCUUUCACCGGUGAAGAUAAUGACGGUAACCGGAGAAGAAGCCCCGGCUAACUUCGUGCCAGCAGCCGCGGUAAU